rnacentral:rRNA from 1 species
CCUACGGGAGGCAGCAGUAGGGAAUCUUCCACAAUGGACGAAAGUCUGAUGGAGCAACGCCGCGUGAGUGAAGAAGGGUUUCGGCUCGUAAAGCUCUGUUGGUAGUGAAGAAAGAUAGAGGUAGUAACUGGCCUUUAUUUGACGGUAAUUACUUAGAAAGUCACGGCUAACUACGUGCCAGCAGCCGCGGUAAUACGUAGGUGGCAAGCGUUGUCCGGAUUUAUUGGGCGUAAAGCGAGUGCAGGCGGUUCAAUAAGUCUGAUGUGAAAUCCCCGCGCUCAACGUGGGAACUGCCUUUGAAACUGGCAAACUGGAGUGUGUGAGAGGAUAGUGGAAUUCCAGGUGUAGGAGUGAAAUCCGUAGAUAUCUGGAGGAACAUCAGUGGCGAAGGCGACUAUCUGGCACAUAACUGACGCUGAGGAGCGAAAGCGUGGGUAGCAAACAGGAUUAGAUACCCCAGUAGUC